rnacentral:ncRNA from 1 species
CCGAAACUCAAAGGAAUUGACGGGGGCCUGCACAAGCGGUGGAGCAUGUGGUUUAAUUCGAUACAACGCGCAAAA